AAAGUCGUAACAAGGUCUCCGUUGGUGAACCAGCGGAGGGAUCAUUACCGAGUUUACAACUCCCAAACCCCUGUGAACAUACCUUAUGUUGCCUCGGCGGAUCAGCCCGCGCCCCGUAAAAAGGGACGGCCCGCCGCAGGAACCCUAAACUCUGUUUUUAGUGGAACUUCUGAGUAUAAAAAACAAAUAAAUCAAAACUUUCAACAACGGAUCUCUUGGUUCUGGCAUCGAUGAAGAACGCAGCAAAAUGCGAUAAGUAAUGUGAAUUGCAGAAUUCAGUGAAUCAUCGAAUCUUUGAACGCACAUUGCGCCCGCCAGUAUUCUGGCGGGCAUGCCUGUUCGAGCGUCAUUUCAACCCUCAAGCCCAGCUUGGUGUUGGGAGCUGCAGUCCUGCUGCACUCCCCAAAUACAUUGGCGGUCACGUCGAGCUUCCAUAGCGUAGUAAUUUACAUAUCGUUACUGGUAAUCGUCGCGGCCACGCCGUUAAACCCCAACUUCUGAAUGUUGACCUCGGAUCAGGUAGGAAUACCCGCU
rnacentral:rRNA from 1 species